rnacentral:rRNA from 1 species
GGUGUUGUUGGGUAGGGGAGCGUUCUGUAAGCCUGCGAAGGUGGCCUGUGAGGGUUGCUGGAGGUAUCAGAAGUGCGAAUGCUGACAUAAGUAACGAUAAAGCGGGUGAAAAGCCCGCUCGCCGGAAGACCAAGGGUUCCUGUCCAACGUUAAUCGGGGCAGGGUGAGUCGACCCCUAAGGCGAGGCCGAAAGGCGUAGUCGAUGGGAAACGGGUUAAUAUUCCCGUACUUGGUGUUACUGCGAAGGGGGGACGGAGAAGGCUAUGUUGGCCGGGCGACGGUUGUCCCGGUUUAAGCGUGUAGGUGUGUGUUCCAGGUAAAUCCGGUUCACUUUAACACUGAGGCGUGAUGACGAGGCACUACGGUGCUGAAGCAACAAAUGCCCUGCUUCCAGGAAAAGCCUCUAAGCAUCAGGUAACAUCAAAUCGUACCCCAAACCGACACAGGUGGUCAGGUAGAGAAUACCAAGGCGCUUGAGAGAACUCGGGUGAAGGAACUAGGCAAAAUGGUGCCGUAACUUCGGGAGAAGGCACGCUGACACGUAGGUGAAGUGAUUUACUCAUGGAGCUGAAGUCAGUCGAAGAUACCAGCUGGCUGCAACUGUUUAUUAAAAACACAGCACUGUGCAAACACGAAAGUGGACGUAUACGGUGUGACGCCUGCCCGGUGCCGGAAGGUUAAUUGAUGGGGUCAGCGCAAGCGAAGCUCCUGAUCGAAGCCCCGGUAAACGGCGGCCGUAACUAUAACGGUCCUAAGGUAGCGAAAUUCCUUGUCGGGUAAGUUCCGACCUGCACGAAUGGCGUAAUGAUGGCCAGGCUGUCUCCACCCGAGACUCAGUGAAAUUGAACUCGCUGUGAAGAUGCAGUGUACCCGCGGCAAGACGGAAAGACCCCGUGAACCUUUACUAUAGCUUGACACUGAACAUUGAGCCUUGAUGUGUAGGAUAGGUGGGAGGCUUUGAAGUGUGGACGCCAGUCUGCAUGGAGCCGGCCUUGAAAUACCACCCUUUAAUGUUUGAUGUUCUAACGUGGACCCGUGAUCCGGGUUGCGGACAGUGUCUGGUGGGUAGUUUGACUGGGGCGGUCUCCUCCUAAAGAGUAACGGAGGAGCACGAAGGUUGGCUAAUCCUGGUCGGACAUCAGGAGGUUAGUGCAAUGGCAUAAGCCAGCUUGACUGCGAGCGUGACGGCGCGAGCAGGUGCGAAAGCAGGUCAUAGUGAUCCGGUGGUUCUGAAUGGAAGGGCCAUCGCUCAACGGAUAAAAGGUACUCCGGGGAUAACAGGCUGAUACCGCCCAAGAGUUCAUAUCGACGGCGGUGUUUGGCACCUCGAUGUCGGCUCAUCACAUCCUGGGGCUGAAGUAGGUCCCAAGGGUAUGGCUGUUCGCCAUUUAAAGUGGUACGCGAGCUGGGUUUAGAACGUCGUGAGACAGUUCGGUCCCUAUCUGCCGUGGGCGCUGGAGAACUGAGGGGGGCUGCUCCUAGUACGAGAGGACCGGAGUGGACGCAUCACUGGUGUUCGGGUUGUCAUGCCAAUGGCACUGCCCGGUAGCUAAAUGCGGAAGAGAUAAGUGCUGAAAGCAUCUAAGCACGAAACUUGCCCCGAGAUGAGUUCUCCCUGAGACUUUAGGUCUCCUGAAGGAACGUUGAAGACGACGACGUUGAUAGGCCGGGUGUGUAAGCGCAGCGAUGCGUUGAGCUAACCGGUACUAAUGAACCGUGAGGCUUAACCUUACA